UCAGAUACCUAAAAUAACUUUAAGGUGCUUAAAUAUAAACCAUCUAAAGAAUAAUGAAUUAUCUAAUACCCAAUUGUUUUUAAUAUAAAACAUGAACACUUUUAAUAAGAUUAAUGAAUAUUAUCGAUACCCACAACAUUAUAAUAAAUAAAUUGCGAAUUGAAAAAAAUCAAUGGCUUAAAGAUGGAAAAUAAAGACGAGUUCCUGAAGCAUAAAAUUCUAAAAACAUAUCCAUCACCGUAGUAUUUCACGUGUCACGCAGUAGUAUAAUUAGAUGUAAACAAGAUAGAAAAUUGUUUAAACAGUUAUAUUUUAAUACGAUUCUAAAUCAACCGUUUACACUGCGUUGUAAAAUCUAGUGGAAAAACUACUCCCAUUUUCGCUAACAAUAUCCGACCAAUGAAUUAAUAAAAAAUUGUUUUUUCACAAUUUAACGGUAUCUAGUGACUGUAUUAAAUGCGGUUUAAUGGCUAGUGAAAGUAUACAAUAAAUACAUCGAACUCGAACACAAUUGAUUUUUCGCUGUAUCCACUAGUUAUUUAAUACAGCAUAUACUAUCUUGACUACCAGUCUACAACAGUCCACAACUAUACUAGAAAUCAACAUUUUUAAACUCAACAUUUCAUUUUCUGUAGAAAAUAUGAACGCGUUACGAUUGACGAUCGUUGUGGUUUUGGUUUGUUCACUGAUUCAGUUCACUUGUAUUGCGUCAGGAUAUCCGACGAAAAUGAACAAGAGUCCUACGAAAACGGUACAACGCCGUAGCGGAAGCAGUUAUGUGGAUUUCGGCGCUCACACUGGCCCUUUAGGCUCGUACGGUUGGUACGUGGAUUUUCCGGCCAAUAAAAAUUAAAAUAUCCACAUAUUUAUAUAUGGUUCUUUUACAUUGAUUUAAAAUCUUGUUCGUUACAAU